GUCUCCUUAGCUCAGUUGGCAGAGCAUCUGACUCUUAAUCAGAGGGUCCACGGUUCGAG
rnacentral:tRNA from 1 species